rnacentral:tRNA from 1 species
CCCUGGUAGCUCAGAUGGUAAAGAAUCUGCCUGGGAUGCAGGAGACCUGGGUUCAAUCCCUGGAUCAGGAA